GACGAACGCUGGCGGCAAGCUUAACACAUGCAAGUCGAACGCCGUAGCAAUACGGAGUGGCAGACGGGUGAGUAACACGUGGGAACGUGCCUUUCGGUUCGGAACAACUGAGGGAAACUUCAGCUAAAACCGGAUACGCCCUUCGGGGGAAAGUUUACGCCGAAAGAUCGGCCCGCGUCAGAUUAGGUAGUUGGCGGGGUAAUGGCCCACCAAGCCGAUGAUCUGUAGCUGUUCUGAGAGGGAGAUCAGCCACACUGGGACUGAGACACGGCCCAGACUCCUACGGGAGGCAGCAGUGGGGAAUAUUGGACAAUGGGCGCAAGCCUGAUCCAGCUAUGCCGCGUGGAUGAAGAAGGCCUUCGGGUUGUAAAGUCCUUUCGGCGGGGAAGAUAAUGACGGUACCCGCAGGAGAAGCCCCGGCUAAUUUCGUGCCAGCCGCCGCAGUAAUAC
rnacentral:rRNA from 1 species